rnacentral:lncRNA from 1 species
ACAGGAAGUAGGACAGAGCAAUGGAGGGAAGCCAGAUUUAAUGUCAGAAGUCUGGACCAUCAAUUUUAUCCCUUCCCAUUGCCUCCUUUUAAAUUUUAGUCAAUUCAAUAAAUAUUUUCAACUCCUCGUCUGUACCAGGCACCAAGCCACAGAAUGGAGUUCUGGCAAUGAACACUGCAGACAUGGCCGCCUUUAGCCUCAUGGAGCUUAGGGUCUGGGAGCAUUGUCAGUUUCUGAAUCCUCCAAGUGCUAAACUAUCUUCUCUCUUCAAAUUAGAGAAAAGAAAUGAGACAGCAGGCCUGCUUCUUUGAGUGUUUUUUUCUUUUUUGUUUCCGUUUUCUGACAACCAUACUUCACGUCUGACAGAGGAAAUGAUUCUUUUUGUCAGUGAUAAAUUUAUGAGUUUUGACUGUUUGUGAAGUUCCCUAAUUAAUUCUUUAUAGACUUCUAUUGGCAACUGAAUUUGUGUUUUGAGUUAAAAAUGGGAGUUCAGAUGAAUUACAGUUGAACAUUCUGCUCCCUUUGAAGAGCUCAUACUCCACAUUCUACGCUGUUAAUCUCUCUGCUUACUGAGAGGCACCGUUUGUCUUGCAGUGACGCACGGUGGGUGGUUACCAUGGCAUAGGAAAACAUUGCCAGCGCUGGCCCUGUCGUCAUGGAACCCCUGGGCCAUCUCCUGAGAAACUUGGUAAGGGCUCCCAAGCCGCCCAUACCUCCUUGGCACCACAAGUGUAGCUUUUUAUUUUGUGUGUGGGCAGCUUGACAUCUGCACCUGACCAAGAGAUUGAUGUGGCUAAACAAAUUUAGGAAAUGAGCAGCAGUGGAUCUCUGUUCAGAGAGGGAGGAGGAGAGAGAAGGAGGGAGGGAAGAAAGGAGAGAGGGAGAGAGCCAGAAAACAGAGCAAGAUAAAGGAAGAGAAUGCACCUGAAAUAGACACAAGGAUAAAUGGAUCAAGGAGAGAGGAGAAACAGAUAAUCACAACAGCGAAUAUUUGUUAAAUGCAUGCUCUUUGCCAGGUUGGAAUAAAUGCAGAUGCUGCAAAUUGAUGGAGGCCUGGUGUCUUCCAGAGUGGAGGUAAAGGCUGGCUGAGGAAUCAGUGAGGCCAGGAAGAGGGCUCAGCUGAGCAACUGAUCAAAGCAUCCCUCUUCAGGAAGGAGCUUCCUGUGUUUUCUCUGGGAACUCACCUGUUUUCCACUCCAGACUCUCCAAGAUAUGCAGAGCUUUGGGCCAGGAUCCUACAGCCACGGGUCAUGCAGAGCCAGUUGGCCACAUCCUUUGGGCCAAAUUUGGUCCUAACCAGGUCUUACCACGGUAACUGCUAACCAGUCCAUCUUCAGUUAAUAUUUCAUGCAAAACAAUGGGCAAGUCAGCUCAUGAAGAACUUUUCAGAUAUUCAGACUAUUAUUCUGAGAGAGAAAAUAUUGGCAGAGAACAGAUGGGAUUUUUCUCAAGGAAAAGAAA